rnacentral:rRNA from 1 species
CAGUAGCCGCGGUAAUACGGAGGGUGCAAGCGUUAAUCGGAAUUACUGGGCGUAAAGAGUGCGUAGGUGGUUUGGUAAGUUAUCUGUGAAAUCCCUGGGCUCAACCUGGGCAGGUCAGAUAAUACUGCUGAACUCGAGUAUGGGAGAGGGUAGUGGAAUUUCCGGUGUAGCGGUGAAAUGCGUAGAGAUCGGAAGGAACACCAGUGGCGAAGGCGGCUACCUGGCCUAAUACUGACACUGAGGCACGAAAGCGUGGGGAGCAAACAGGAUUAGAUACCCCCGUAGUCCCUGUCUCUUAUAC